CCAAUAGCGUAUAUUAAAGUUGUUGCAGUUAAAAAGCUCGUAGUUGAAUUUCGGGGUUUAUCCGUUGGUCGGGCUUUUGGGUCUGUACUGGCGUGAUGGAUUCCUACCUUCUGAAUAACCAGCAUGCCAUUAAUUUGGUGCGUUGGGGAAGCAGGACUGUUACCUUGAAAAAAUUAGAGUGCUUAAAGCAGGCUAUUGCCUGAAUACAUUAGCAGGGAAUAAUGAAAUAGGACGCAUGGUUCUAUUUUGUUGGUUUCUAGGAUCACCGUAAUGAUUAAUAGGGAUAGUUGGGGGCAUUAGUAUUCAAUUGUCAGAGGUGAAAUUCUUGGAUUUAUUGAAGACUAACUUCUGCGAAAGCAUUUGCCAAGGAUGUUUUCAUUAAUCAAGAACGAAAGUUAGGGGAUCGAAGACGAUCAGAUACCGUCGUAGUCUUAACCAUAAACUAUGCCGACUAGGGAUCGGACGAUGUUAAUUUUUUAAUGACUCGUUCGGCGCCUUACG
rnacentral:rRNA from 1 species